UACGUAGGGUGCGAGCGUUAAUCGGAAUUACUGGGCGUAAAGCGUGCGCAGGCGGUUUUGUAAGCCAGAUGUGAAAUCCCCGGGCUUAACCUGGGAAUGGCAUUUGGGACUGCAAGGCUUGAGUGCGGCAGAGGAGAGUGGAAUUCCUGGUGUAGCGGUGAAAUGCGCAGAUAUCAGGAAGAACACCCGUGGCGAAGGCGGCUCUCUGGGACGGUACUGACGCUGAGACGCGAAAGCGUGGGAGCGAACAGG
rnacentral:rRNA from 1 species